rnacentral:misc_RNA from 1 species
GAUGAAGAACGUAGCGAAAUGCGAUAGGUAGUGUGAAUUGCAGAAUUCAGUGAAUCAUCGAAUCUUUGAACGCACAUUGCGCCCCUUGGUAUUCCAUGGGGCAUGCCUGUUCGAGCGUCAUUUGUACCUUCAAGCUUUGCUUGGUGUUGGGUGUUUGUCCAUUCUCUUGCAGAGGGACUCGCCUUAAAGUAAUUGGCAGCCAGUGUUUUGGUUUUGAAGCGCAGCACAAGUCGCGAUUCAACGCUAUACGCCAGCUUCCACAAGCCUUUUUCACUUUUGACCUCGGAUCAGGUAGGGAUACCCGCUGAACUUAAGCAUAUCAAUAAGCGGAGGA